rnacentral:rRNA from 1 species
AGUGAACGCUGGCGGUAGGCCUAACACAUGCAAGUCGAACGGCAGCACAGUAAGAGCUUGUUCUUACGGGUGGCGAGUUGCGGACGGGUGAGGAAUACAUCGGAAUCUACUUUUUCGUGGGGGAUAACGUAGGCAAACUUACCCUAAUACCGCAUACGACCUACGGGUGACAGCAGGGGAUCGUCGGACCUUGCGCGUUUGAAUGAGCCGAUGUCGGAUUAGCUAGUUGGCGGGGUAAAGGCCCACCAAGGCGACGAUCCGUAGCUGGUCUGAGAGGAUGAUCAGCCACACUGGAACUGAGACACGGUCCAGCCUACUACGGGAGGCAGCGGUGAGGAAUAGUGGACGAUGGGCGCAAGCCUGCAGCAGCCAUACCGCGUGGGUGAAGAAGGCCUGCGGGUUGUAAAGCCCUUUUAUUGGGAAAGAAAAGCAGCAGGUUAAUACCCGGCUGUUCUGACGGUACCCAAAGAAUAAGCACCGGCUAACUUC